UUAGAGAUUUGCGUUAGUAGUGCUGAGGUGCUGUGGUGUUAUCGACAAACCAACUUCCUGGAAGAAGCCUUCUACUACGGACCCAGGAAGAAUAUAUAGUGUUUUCUGCAAUCCUGCACUGCUUUUGUAUUAUCCAGUCACCUUUGGAAAAUCUACAUAGAGCCAAGGAGGGGAAUCACCAAUUUGGUUUGUAAUGUAUCAUUACCUAUUUUUUAUUUUUGUACAAAUUAGAUUUUAGUUUUAAAUUGAUUGACAAAACUGUAAAUAAAGUGAUAUUAGUGAUUUAAUAAACAAAAAAGACAUUUAAAAUCUCGAUACUUAUUUUGUCCUUGUGUUCCUGUUACUAAUCUUUUUUAACUUUACAUGUAUUAAGCAAGAUGUUCCUGAAUUCACUGUCGCCUCUUUUGAACAAGAGUCUAUUUAUUGCCUUAUGUUCGCUGAUCACGCCUGGGUAAUAACCAAAUACCUGCACCUCCGAAACUGCUCCAUGUGACGAUAUCAUGUGGAGGAGCACUUUAUUCAAACUGAUUUACCACCACACAGAAGUAGAAAGCUGAAAGAUAAGACGGUAACGUGCUGUAUUGGUAUCGUACUUGUUAAUUUUUUUUUCUAAGUGAGUACUCAUUAUUUCAAGUUUAUUUACUAAUAGAUUUGAAGUAAUUUGUAUUUCGUUUCAUUGUUUAUAAUAUCUGCAUGAUGCAUUUGUUUGUUUUUCUUUUAACAUUCAAAAACGACACUUAUUAGAUAUUUUGACUACCUUGAAAUUCAAAAUUUAUUAGAAAAACAGACUGGCCUCUUGACAAUUUUUUUUUACAGUGUUGAGCUUAAAUUUGUAUUUCGUGCACGAUACAAAUUUAGGUAAAAUAACUCCAUCGAACAAAUGUUUUGUGUAUGUAUUAUAAACGGACUUGAAGCAAAGAUAAUGAAACUUUAACUCCCAGCUUAUGUUUGCUUCAAAUAAAUAACAUUACUUUUAUAAAAUCAUUCUAUUAGAAAAAUACUAUUUUCUCUAGGUUGGCACUGGAGCUGAACGCUUAGCCGACCAGUUUCGCCAACAAAAUAUGAGCAUUCUGCCAUUCCUACUAUUCCAGAAAAAUGCAAGGAAGACUGAUUGUAUUCCUUGUACGCCAUGGAGCUCGACAUAGUUCUGUGUGUGAAGGGAAAUGCUUACAAAACCGACCCUCCCAGUAGCGCAAUAUUAAACGAUAACGAUCGAUCCAUGAAUUCUUGUUGGUAUAGUAUAGCAAGUAGUGUACAGUUAAAGCCACUGCUGUGGCCAUUUCGAAUGUUCUGGUUAUUUUUGUCAGGUUUAAUAAGAAUUUGCGACAAUUAACGAUGGAUAGCUGCAAACUAGCCCUUGAGGGACUUUGGUCAUGAGCGGCCAGGUCGUCUCGUACUGCUGAAGCUGAAUUAUGUUGCAACAGGUUUAGAUGGUCAGUCAUCAUUUCCCACAUGCCGGAAUAUGAGUGGACUCUGAAGUUAGGAUGUAUUGCAAUUGUUUUUGUUAAUUCUGCUGUGAAAUUGUUUUCCCUAUGAAUGCACGAGUUUUUUUACAAAUCGGAAGUGUAUUCACAAAUCGCCUCGUCUCGAUAUCUAAUAGCUUAGAGUACGAUCUUUUAAAAUGAGAAAUUGGAUGCUUCGACACGUUGAAGAGCACGCACUACAGAAAAUUAAUUUUGAUUGUGAAAAGUAGCCCGCAUAGCAAAACAUAUUUUUCUCACCUAAACGAAUUAUGAAAUUGUACUGAACAUUGAAAAUGAGAGAAAUUAUCCUUUACCUAUAAUCAUAUCUGUAUGAAAGAGUCAUUGAAGUGUUUCUUUAUUGAUGCAUAAGGAAAACGGUUUCGCACAGCUCCACUAGGUCACUACUAAAAUUGUUUUGGUGAUUAUCUAGUCUCCUGCUCUAAGGUCUGUGUUUGUGCUUGUAUGCAUGGUACUUACUCGAUGGAUUUAGGAAAUCGUGGUAUUGGAACUAAGCUGUUUCACUGCACAGGAACGGAUAAGUAACUGCUUUAAAAGGUUUGUUACUAAUUUUAGUAAAUCUGUCUAACCCUUCUUCUUUGAAACGUAUUCGACUCUAUUAGUAGGUAAAGGAAAAUGCAUUUUUAGCUUUUGUUUUCUUUUGAAAAUUACCACAGGAUAAUGCCAACGCCCUAACAAAGAAAGUUUUUCUAAUAACUCUUAACUUGUCAAAUAUGCAUUACUUUCAACUAAUUUACUUUUUGUGCUAUAAUGAAGUUUUAUCGAUAAAAAGAUAGUCACUUUGAAGAUGAAGAAAGUUACUACUCAUGUUUCGGGAAAAUAAUCCGACAUAAGUAUUUCAAACUGCAUAAAAAAUAGUUUUGCUUAAUUAAAAAAGGUGAAGAUAGUUUCAUGAAGGAAAGUAGAAGAGGCCAGGAAAAAAUGAAACCCAAAGUCAGUAUUUUAAACUAUUCAAAUAUCAGUUUAAGUACUUAUAAUUAUAAGUAAUUUCAUCUGCAUGUUAUGUUAAAUUAAUUAUUUAAAACAUUGAAAAAAAGGAAGAAGAUUAAUUUGGAUCAUCUUUUAACAAAAUGUGAGUACCUAUCCAUUUAUAAAUUUGACAUGAAGGAUCGUAAAUACAAUUUUCCAGCAUAAUUUGCACAAAAAAAACGAUAUAAAACUUUUUUUCCAAAUGGGAUACGGAGUAAAUUCUUUUAACUAAGCAGUUGCUAGAUAAAUUAUAAUUUCAUUAUCAAAAUAUGUUAAAAGAUACAUAUAAUCCACUUUUCUAUAUUCAUACCAAUCAAAAUAUUGGAUAUUUGAAGGAAUACCACCUAGGUACCAAAAAGUAAGUUACAAACAAUAAAACCUAACUAUUUUUUCAAUACUUAAUAUAAAUUUACAUUUCUUUUUUGCCUAACCCUAUUUUGUAGGUGUAGGAUGAACAAAUAUUUACUUUUAGAAAGUAUACAUUAAAACAACACAGUUGAAGCAAUACUGUGACUGAAAAUUUUUAUUCCAUUUUAUGAAGCUCAUAAAUAGUAGUUUAUUGAGUGAAAAGUAGUCCAGGACGUGCUAGUCAAUCACACGCAACAAAAUUCGUCAGUAACGCGACCUUUAACUCUGCGUUUUAAGUAUUGUCUUUAAAAUGUGCCAUCCAUCUAAUAGUAUCUUGCAGAUUUUCAAUGCCUCGAGCUUUAUGUUGAGAAAAUGGACAUUUUGGGAGGGACAUUAUUCAAAUUUGUUUUAGACUAGAUUUAAUCCUGAAAAACGAUGAUCCACGGAACUCUUCAAAACAUUAAAAAACGGAAAAUGACCUAUCGGGCAGUGCAACUUUUUACAUUGUAUUUCGGAAAUAUGUUAAAAAAUUGAAAGGUCGGUAUCCAAAAGUAGAAAAAUUGUCUCAAUUUUAGUUAAUCGCAAUAUUCCAAGUUGGAGGUAACUCGACGCUACUAUGAAAAUUUACUUAUUUUGAUAUGGAAAAUAUGGAAGACUUCAUUCGCAAUAUUCAAAUAGCUGAAACGAAAGGUCAGUUGAACAAAAAGUUUUUGAUUUCAGAAGGAAAACCUAUGUUUCCGUUAAUGAAUAAAACCAAUAUCUAUGACAAUGAAAAUAUCACAUUUAUUAGUAAGCAUCCAACACAUUUUCUAAAUAUUUAAAUUUUGAUGACUGAAAAUGUAUAUUAUGUAAAUAUUAUCAUAUGUUAGGAAAAAAGGAAGCGGUUUUCUGUUUUAGAAAGUAGUUAAAUUGGACAAAAGCUUUCACCAUUGCUCUUUAAAAAAUAGAGAAAGAAGAAUGGAAAUGAUAUUCAUUUAUAACAUACUAAAAAAUUGAAAGGUCGGUAUGCAAAAACAGAGAAAAUAGGUUUCAAUUUUAGAUAGGUAUUUCCAAUAUUCUGAAUUGGAGGUAAUUCGACACUGCUAUGGAAAUUUAAUUUGCCAGGAUGUGGAAGACUUCAUCCACAAUACUCUAACAAUAUUAAAUAGCGCGAUGAAAUGUCGGUUAGUUGAACAAAAAGGUUUUGAUUUGAGAAGGAAAAAAGACAGUAUGUACAAUGACAAUGGAAAAAACAUGUAUUAGUAAGCAUCAACACCUUUUUUUAAAUAUUUAAAAUUUUGUUAUUUGAAACAGUCGCCACCAUAAGUUUGUAUAUUAUGUUAGGAGGGAGGGAAGCAGUUUUCUAUGUUUUAGAAUGUUAGUCUUUAACCUGGACAAAACUUUUACCACUGCUCAUUAAAAAAUAUAGACGGAAGAAUGGAAAGGACGAUUCAAAGAGUAUCUACGUAUAAAUAAAUAUAAAAAUAAGUGCCGCACAUUUUUAAAAUCUAUAAUAUGCAUUUAACUAAUCGGGAUGUGCAACUUUUUACAUUACUUUUCGGAAAUAUGCUAAAGUAUUGAAAGGUCGGUAUAAAAAGUAGAGAAAUUAGGUCUCAGUUUUAGUUAUUCCCAAUACUGGAGGGGAACUCGAUGCUGUCGUGAAAAUGAACUUCAUUCUGCCAAGAUAUGGAAGACUAUUCACAAUACUGAAGCAAUACCUAUACCAAUACCAACAGAAAUGAAAAAAUCAGUUACUAGUAAGCAUCCAAUAGAUUUUUUAUAUUGAUAAGGGAGACAGUAUAUUACCAUUACCGCCAAUGUUAUAAGUUAGGAAGCAGGGAAGCAAUUUUCUGUUGUAGAAGGUUAAUUGUUAAACUGGACAUAACUUCACCAGCACUAGCGAAAAUAUCUAGAAAGAAGAAUAAAAAGCAGGAUUCAAUUAAAUAUAAAAGUAAAUGUUGUAUAUUUAUCAGUACUAUAAUAUUCUUUUUAAGGAAAGCAGAUGUUUAUUCAAGAUUUGAAAAUUUCUAAUUUUGGUAGUUUUCUCCAUUAAUUCAUUUCAAAAGUGAGUUAUCUAUUCUUAAUCACCAAGUUUAGGUCAGUUGUAAGUAAAAAUUUACUAAUACAUUACAAUACUGUUUAGUAAUAUUUACGUGUAUUUUUUAUUUUUAUCCUUUGAUACAGCAUCAGCGUUGUGCUAAAAAAAAAUUUGUGAGGAGAUUAUACCAUGUUUUAGAUAAUCGUCAUUUAAAAUAAAUUACAAUAAGAUCGGUACAUUGUGAAUUUUAAUUGCCUAGUUGACUGUUUGAAUGUGUUUGAAGAAGCAUAAUUAAGAAGAAAAACAAUGACAAUUUUUGAAGAGUAACAUCCUACAAAUUAUCAAUUCAAAUAAAAAGGUCGGUACCAUAAUUAUUUUUGAGGUAGGGGGUGGGAACUGGGGUGACGAACUUUUCUGUUUUUAGACAAAUUUGCAAGUAAAAUCACUGGAAAGUCUCAAGUCAAAGGUUGGUAUAUAGGCGCCGGGAAGCUAAUUUUGUUUUUCAGAAUCUUUAACUUGCAAAAUAAACUGCAAAUGAUCCAACAUUAUUCGGAUAUUGCCCACAUUAUAAGCGUUCUUAGAACGGAAGGAGUUUUAAAAGAAAUUAACAACCGCCUAAUAUAUUACGAAAAUUACCAAAAGGAAAAGAAAGAUCAAUUACUUGGAAAAAUGAAGGUUGUGUUACAGGAGAAACUAUAAGGAAUAUAGUCUGAAUAUUUGUUAUGGAUAGAAUAGUCUUAUGCUGGCACUGUAAGCAACUUUUUUUACAAACAAGCUUUACUUUUUGAAGUUGUUUAUUUGUAUUGCAUAUUUUGCGCAAACCAAUAGCAAAUCUCUGCCAUUAUGCUUAUUUGUUAUAUCUAGUAGUUUGGGAGGGGGAAAUUCUCAGCUGUUUUAGACAACCCAGGUCAUUCAAAUCUUUAGAUGUGUGGUGCACCUUAAACGCUAGAACUAAUACCAGUUUUGGAUUCAACCUCUUCAGAAUUAUUUUGGGACAGGUCGGUAUGUAGGAACUUGCAUUCAUUAAUAGGUUAACUACUCAUACAAAUUUAAAAUUGAGAGGAACUUCAACCAGAAAUCAACAGAACAACAGCAGACUAAGUUCCUUCACUGGUGAAAAUAUCUGCAAGGAAAUAAUUGUCCUUUUUUGGAAAUGGAAGCCUUCAGUUUGGAUUUUGAACAAAAAGUAUCCUCUAAUCCUGAAGAAAAGAUGACCCACUAUUCUUGUCAAAAUAUUAAAAAUUGGGAAAAUAGCCAAUCAGCCGGCGCAACUUCUACUUUUUAGAAAUGAGCUAAGAUACAUAUUCCAAGGUCGGUAUACAGAAAUAGAGAAAUUAGACCCCAGUUUUAGCCUGCAAUAUUCCAAGUUGGGGGAACAGGAUCCUGCUAUGAAAAUGUACUUUAUUAUGCCAAGAUAUGGAAGACUUCCUCUACAAUUCUGAAACAAUAAGCAAGGUUGGUUACUAUUUCAGAAGGAAAAUGGUGUGUCUUUUUUUCAAGAAUAACGGACAGGAUUAACAGUGACAAUGAAAAAAUAUUUAUUAGUAAGAGGCAACACAUUUUUUAAAUAUUUAAAUUUUUAAGAUGACUCAAAAUGUAUGUUACCACUACAACCAUAAUUUCGAAUGUUUAUCAUAUGUUAGGAAGUAGCGAGUAGGUUUUCUGUGUUUUAGAAGGUUGGCCAUUAAAGUGACAAUAGUUUCACCACUACUUAAAAAAUAUGAAAAGAAGAAUGGAAAGGACAAUUCAAAGUGUAUCUAUAUAAUUAAAUCUAAAAAUAAAUUUCGCAUAUUUAUCAAUACUAUAAUAUUCAUUUUAAGGAAACCAAGUUUUAUUCAAGAUCUGAGAAUUUUAAAUUUUGUGUGAUACCUAUAGUUUACUUCAUCCAAAAUGAGUUUCCUAUUCUUAAAUAGCAAGGGAGCAGGUCAGUUUGUGUUACAGUUAAAAAUUCACAGGUACAUUACAAUACUGCUUUGUAAUAUUUAUUUAUUCUACCUAGCACAACAUCAACGUUUGUUGCAAAUUGUUUAUGGCAGGGGAGGGGGAAAAUUAUACUAUGUUUUAGAUAAUUUGCGUUUGAAAUGAGAAGUCCCAGACUCUGCAUCUCGAUCGCUAUUAUAUUACUUUCCCGCAACAAGAAAAUUGGCAUCCUUAACUGACCAUUUAAAUGUAUUCUAGAAGAAUAUUAUGAAGAGAAAAAACGUGACAAUUUAAAAAGUAUAAAUUAAAGUGAAAAGGUCUACUAUAAAAUAUUUUUUUGAGGUGAGAAAGGGGGGUGGAAACCAUGUUCUGUUCUUAGCCAAAUUGAACGCAUAAAGUCGCUGGAAAGUUUCAAAAAAGGUCGGUGUAUAGUAGUAGGGUAGCUAAUUCUGUUUUUUAGAAUUUGUAAUUUGUUAACUGUAACAAACUACAAAUGAUACAGUCAAAAUAAAAGAAGCACAAGGUGGUUCAUUUAAUUUCCCUGUAAAUAUGAUAGAAUUACUUGGAUAUUGCCCACAUUAUGAGCGUUCUCAUAACGGAAGAAGCUUUAAAAAACACAUUGCCUAAUAUAUUAAGGGAAUUACCAAGAAAAGGUCGGUUACUCAGGAGGUUGUGUUCCAGGAAAAACUAUAAUGGAUAUAAAACGUAUCAGAACAAAAAUUAUCUUCGUUGUAAGCAUCACUUUUUUUGUUAAUCUGCUAGAAAUAAGCUUUACUUUUUAAAGAUGUACUGUAUAUGUGUAUUUAUCUGUUUUCUGCGAAUAUAUGCUUAUUUCUUAUAUCUACAGUUUGGGAGGGGGAAUUUUGAGCUGUUUUAGCUAAUCCAAGUCGAUCAAAUCUUUAAAUACGAGGUCCCCGUUGGAGGGUAGAAAUAAAACCAAUUUAGGAUUCAACCCACUCUGGAAUAAUUUUGAGACGGGUCCAUAAGUUUUUUCUAAACAAGAAAAGCGGGAACAAAUGGUAACAGGGCAAUUUAUUUUUUGGAAAAAAUGUAGUUUGUUUCAGUUUAAAUAUCUGGACGGAAAGAAUUAAUCAAGUCCAGGAGACUGAUAGAAAUAUAAAUUUUUCAAUACCAUGAUUCAUCAUAUAACAUUCACAAAGCUUUUGAAUAGAAAAAAAUUGAACCAGUGGGAGAAAAGGGUCAGCUCUCUGGAAAGAUGCAGUUUGUUUCAGAUACAAUCCGAAAAGAAAAUUGAAGCGGAAGCAAUGGAUAAAGAGGUCAAUUGUCCUGAAAAAUGCAGUUUGUUUCAGAUCAAGUAUCCAAAGAAUGGAAGAAAAUGGAAAACGACACUCAAGACUAGAAAAAGGGCACACUUUUCAACUUCGUACUGGGAAACGAACAUCAAACAUCCUAAAUAAAACGAAGACACUAGUGGUAAAAGAAAAGGUCAGUUUUCGAAAAAAAUGCAAUGUGUUUCAGAUAAAGUAUCCAAAGAACAGAAAAAAAUAAUAGCGGGGAUGAAAAGACGGAAAAAAGAACAGGCCUUCUAAAGUCACACUUGGAAAACAUAUGUUGUACAAGACCUCGACGAUGAUACCAGUGGUAAAAGGUCAGUUUUUUGGAAAAACAUAAGGACAGCGAAAUUAAUGGUAUACAUCACACUGCAUCGUAAAACGCGUAGUUUAAUUUUCAGAUCAGUAAUCUGGAAAAAAGGAAAAAUGAAUAUUGUACUUGUCAAUACUGGAGAAAAACGGAGUACUUAACGUCACUUGGAAAACAAAUGUUCUUAUAAAUAAGAAAAGCUGAAGCCAGCGGUGAUACGAUCAUUCAAUUUUUUUCUUUUGGAAAAUAGUUUGUUUCAGAUCGAUGGUCUCUAGAAAAGAGGCAUGCAAAUCAGUGUUAUGAAAAAGAUGGUGGACAUUUCUGAACAUCGCUCUUCAUCUGAAAGAAGAAAUGAAAGCAAUGGAUAAAGAGGUCAGUCGUCUGGAAAAUGCAGUUUGUUUCAGAUCAACUAUCCAAAGAACUAGAGGAAAAUGAAAAACGACUCAAGACUAGAAAAAGGACACACUUUUCAACGACGUACUUGGAGAACAAACAUCAAACAUCUUUCUAAAUAAAACAAAGACGCCAAUGAUAAAAGAAAAGGUCAGUUUUCGAGAAAAAUGCAAUGUGUUUCAGAUAAAGUAUCCAAAGAACAGGGAAAAUAAUAACGGACAUAUGAAGAUGAGAAAAAAGCAGGCCUUCACGGAAAACAAGCGCUCUACAAGACCACGAUGAUGGCAAUGGAUAAAGAGGUCAGUUGUCUGGAAAAAUGCAGUUUGUUUCAGAUCAAGUAUCCAAAGAACUGGAGGAAAAUGAAAAAUUACUAUCAAGACUGGAAAAAGGGCAGACCUUUCAACGUCGUGGAAAACAAACAUCAAACUUCCUUCUAAAUAAAACAAAGACAUCAAUGGCAAAAGAAAAGGUCAGUUUUCGAAAAAAUGCAAUGUGUUUCAGAUAAAGUAUCCAAAGAACGAACAGGAAAAAUAAUAACUGGAUGUAAAGAUGGGGAAAUAGAGCAGGCGUUCUAACGUAACAUUUAGAAAACAUACGUUGCACAAGACCUCGACGAUGAUACCAGUGGUAAGGUCAGUUUUUUUGGAAAAAAUGCUGUUUGUUUCAGAUCAAAUAUCUAAAAACAUUGGAACAGCGAAAUCAGUGGUAUACAUCACAUUGCAUCGUAAAACGCGUAGAUAGUUUAGGUUUUAGGUCGGUAAUCUAAAAGAAAAAUAAAAAUUGUACUUGUCAAGACUGGAAAAAACGGAGUACUUAACGUCACUUGAAAAACAAAUGUUGUUUUGGAAAAUCCAGUUUGUUUCAGAUCAGUUGUCUAAAGAAAAGAGGCAUGAAAAUCAGUGUUAUAAUGGGAUGGGAGAUGGGAUGAUGAACAUUUCUGAACAUCGCUCUUCAUCAGAAAGAAGAAAUGAAGGCAAUGGAUAAAGAGGUCAGUUUUAUGGAAAAUUGCAAGUUUGUUUCAGGUCAAGUAUCCAAAGAACUGUAGGAAAAUGAAAGACUACUAUCAAGACUAGAAAAAGGGCACACAACGUUGUACUUGUAAAACAAACAUCAAACAUCCUAAAUAAAGCAAAGACACCAGUGGUAAAAGAAAAGGUCAGUUUUCGAAAAAAUGCAAUGUAUUUCAGACAAAGUAUGCAAAGAACAGGAAAAAUAAUAACGGGAAAAAGAAGCAAGCCUUUUCACGUCACACUUGGAAAACAAACGUUCUACACUUCUACAGGACUACGACGACGACACCAAUGGUAAAAAGGUCAGGUUUUGAAAAAAUUCAGUUUGUUUCAGAUCUAAAAACAAAGGAAUAGCGACAUCAGUAAUAAAGUUAAUUCUUUGGAAGAAUGUAGUUUGUUUCAAGUAGUAUCCAACAAAGGAGAUGAAAAUGAUCUUACCAAGAAAGCUGCAAAUGUUUCACCCUUCGUUGUUAAACACAAUUAUCAAAAAAAAAAAAAAGAAACUAGUGGGAAAAGGUCGAAAAAUAGUUGUUUCAGAUUAGUUGUCUAAAAGAAAAGAGACAUGAAAACCAAUACAAAAAGACGCAGAUUUGUAUACAUCACACUCUAACCUAAAACAUGCAGUUUCUUAAAUUUCAGAUUAAAGAAAAAUUGAAGUUGCAUUGGAGUUCUUAAGUCAUUUCGAAAACAAAUGUUCUUCUAAAUGGGGAAAACUGAAGUCGGUGGUGAUAGAAACGUUCCAUUUUUUCUUUUGGAAAAUACAGUUUCAGAUUAGAUAUCUAAAGAAAUGGAUAAUAAAACGGACACGUGCCAAGACUGGAAGAAGAGUGAACUUUUGAACUUGGGGGGGGGGAACGUGGUAACACAAAACGUCAAUUUUUUUGGAAAAUGCAGAUUGUUUCAGAUUAAGAAGUACCUAUCUUACGAAAUAGAAAAUGAAUCUUAUGAGGAAGCUGAUAACAUAAGUAUAGGUUUUUGAUUACCUUGCAUCAUCAUACGUAUAACAUUCAUAUAAUCUCCAAAAGAAAAUUAUCCAACCAGUAUUAUCCAACGAAAAAGGAUAUGAAUGCGAUCAUACCAAAUAUUUCCCACAUUGCCGUUAAUCAUGCAUGAGAUUUCUGAACAAGAGGAAUGCCACGGGAAAAGGUCAGUUCUUGAAAAAAUGGUUUGUUUCAGAUCUAUUACGUGAAGAAAAAGGAAGUGAAAAUCUGUUUUAUCAAAAAGAUGGUUAGGAAUUUUUCAACGUCACAAUUGGAGUAAAGAAAAAGGUCAGUUGUCUGGAAAAAUUCAAUUUGUUUCAGAUCGAGUUUCUAAUAAAUAGGAAAAUGACGUGACUUACACAAUAUUAUUGAUAUGGUUGUAAAAAAUACAAAUUCUUCCAGCAUUUGAAUUAUCCCUGUUUUUUUAUAAUAGAAAAAGAUUGAAUGUUUAAGAAAAUUAAACGGAAAAGUAUCUGGAAAAGUAUCUAAUAUUUCGAGCAGGAUGUCCACAUUGGUUUGAAAAUCCUUUAACAAUUGACAAAUUUGCUUCUUUAUAUGUAUGUUUCAGACAUCUCUGAUCUCCAAUGAAUGUUCAACCAACAAAGGUACAUCUAGUAGUUUUAAAUAAUUUAGAUAACAUAUAAUGCUGUUUGUAUUAAAUAUAUUCAAGCUGGAGACUAACAUCUGCCUGUUAGAGCUUAUAUGAUGCGAUAGUAACUCUUCAGGCAAUUUCUGUAUAAUUUGCUUAGAUGUAUUAUAUUACGAACUUACUUUUCGUUGAAUUGUGCACAUUAAUAUACUAGAUUACUAAUUGUUAUUUAUAAAUACCAUACAUUAAACAUAAAAAGAAAGAAGUGAAGAGUUUUAAGUAUCUUUAUUUAAAAGUAAAAUGUAAAGAAAAAUUAUGUCGAUCGAAACGGCAGAAAUCCAGUUAUUCUCUCAAGAUUGUGUUCUUAUAUCCAUAAAACAGAAAAGAAAUUAGAGAAAACUAAGCUAUCAAAAAAAGUAUUAAGUUUAGAAAAUCGAAAACUUAAAAUGACGAAUUAUACGACUUACACACUGAAAAGUAACAGAUCAGUAAAAGAUUACAUAUAUUUUUAUUAACCAUUUGGAAUGAUAUGUUAAAAUUAUGAAGUAUAAUCGUAAAAGGGUAAUCGCUUAAAAUAAAAAGAUUGCAAAUGAUCAGUCUAGCACCCUUGUAUAUGAUAUUAAAGACCGUCUUGACUUAAAAAUUAUUAAACCAUAAAAGGAUUAGAGCAUUGUUUAAAAUCUAACUAAGAAUGUUUAUUUACAGUAAUGUUGGUUCAAGUCAUCAAAAUAAAAAGUGUAAAAAUUGGUCUAGAAAUAACGAUUGAAGGAUAGCUAUAGAGUGGAGCAAUCUGAAGAGAUGCGAUGAUUAAUUUUCUGUUGAAGGCGUGGCCCACAAUCAGAAAACUGUUAUCAGAGAAUGGAACAGUUUGUUGACGUCGACUGGACGAUUCAAGAGCUAAGAUGACGUGGCGGAGGACGAGAUGGAUCAUCAAAAGAUGACGAUCGAGGAAUGGAACAGACGGUCAGGAGGCAAGCGAUCAGAGAAUAUGGCAUGGUUGACGAUCAAAGAAGUUUGGGUGUUUCCACAGCGGUCGGGCGAGACGAAGCGAUCAGGAAAUAUGGCAUGCGAUUGGGAAAGAUGAUUUGACGGACGAUCAAGAGGCGACUAUACAGGGAAUGGGAACGGUUUUUCCAGAGCGAUGAGGCUAUCAGGAAAAGAUUAUAUGGCGGGCGACCCGAUGACGGCUAUACAAUCAAGAAGAUGACGCCUUUUUCACGUCAAUGAAAAUAACGGGGUAACCAAGGAAUGAGUUAAUGAACAACUAGAAGGCAGUUAUGGGAAUAACAGUUCCACGACGGUCAAGUGGUCGGAGAUAGAGAUGAUGUAACGGACGAUCAGGAGGCAGCUAUGAGAAGAAUAAAAUGUUUUAUUGACGACCGGCGGCAAGAUGAUCGAAGAGCGAAGAAGACGUGAUGGUGGAUCAGAAAACGGCUAUCCAAGUAAUGGAACGGUUUUCCCAUGGUGGCGAAGUGGUCAGAAAUAGAGAUGAUGUAACGAUCUGGGGAAUGGAAUACUUUGACGGCAACGAAGGGAUAAUCCAAGGGUGAAUAUGACGUGACCGUCGAUCAGGCGGCAACUAGCUGGGAGCGGUAAAAAUAAAAGGCGACAUGUUGGACAAUCAAGAAAAAUGGCAUGACAGUGGAUCAGAGGGAUUGCUAUUCGGGCGCUUUUUCCACAAUGGUGAGAGGGUCAUGACGGCCGUUGCCUAUCAGAAUUCGGUUAGAUGAAUGGAGAAAUAAAAAACGAAGAGGACGAUUAGAAGGCAGCACUUAGGAACUGAAUCAAGGAAGCGAUCGAGGAAGAAGAGGCAUAGUAAACAAAUGGGAGAAUGAAACAAUAUCUCUAGGCGACCAGUGGCGAGGCGAUUGGCAACAAAGGUUGCGCGGCAGAUGAUCAAAAGACGGAAACAUUGCGAUCCAGAGGCAGAGAUAACGUAGUCGAAGAGAAAGCGACGCAGAAAACACGACGACCUGGCGAACGAUCAGAAGGCGGCUAUCUGGGGAUUGGAAUGGUUUUUUCACGAGAGCUGAAGCAUUAGAGGUAAAAGAUGGCGUGGCGGAUUUUUUUUUACAGUAGCAAUAAAAUACUAUGACGGACUAUCUGAAGACGGCGUUGAAGAGAGGAGAAUGAAACGGUUUUUCCAUGGUGAGGAAGCAGUCACGGAUAGAGAUGGCAGACGUUAAAAAAGCGGCGAGGCGGUCGGAGAAAAUACUUUAAUGGGGAACGCUGGUUUAUUUACGGUAACGUAAUUGGGGGAAAAAGUAACAGGCGGCGAUUGGGAACCGAAUCGAUUAUUCUACAACGUGACGGUUGGGGAAUAGCUAACAAUCGGUGACGGCAGAAUGGAAACAUUUUUAAAAGCGAUUUGUGACCAAAACGAUCGAUGACGUGACGGGCGAUCGGAGGCGAUUUUCGGGGGAAUAGAACGGUUUCUUCACGGCAGUGAUGCGAUUGAGGAUAGUCCAGGAGAUGGCGGACGAUCGGGGAAGCGGUCGAGAAUAGAGAUGGCAUGGAGGAUGAAAAGGCGGCUGUACGGAUAAUGAAACGAUUUUUUCCAUGCUAGGGGUAAAAUGCUGCAUGACUGACGAUGAGAAGGUGAUGAGAUGAUCAAGAAAGACGGUGUAAUGAUGGAUCAGAAGGCUUGCGGUUUUUCAACGACGACGAAGCUAUAAGAAAAUGGGAUUGUUUUUCCACAGAAACGAGGUGGUCAAAAAAAUGCUCUCGUGAAGUAGAAGGAAGCAAUCGAGGAAGAAGAAACAUGGCGGCAAUCGGAGAAUGGAACGAUUUUUCGGGGCGAUCUGAGGUAAGACCAUCGGCGGCGGAGAUGGCAUAGCGAACGAUCGGGAGUCGAAAAUUGCGUGGUGAACGAUCAGAAUCAGCGGCGUUCCACGAUUUGUUUACGGGAGCGAGUUGAUUCAAGGGCGAAGAUGACGGUCGAUUAGAAGACGGCGAGAAGGGCAAAAAGCGGAUAGCGGAUUAGAUGGCUAUCCUCGACUCGUUUAGAAGGGCGGAAUGAUUCAAGGGGGAAGAUAGCGUGGCGGUCGAUUUGCAGAUGGCGAGGGGAUCAGGUUAAACGGCGUAGCGAAUAAUCAGAAGGUAACGCCUAUCCGUCUGCGUGUAAGACGAUCAGGAGGGGGCUAGCCACUUUUGUUGACGAGGGCGGGAUGGUUCAAGGGCGAAGAUGACGUGACGGUUGAUUGGUAGGCGACGAGGAGAUUAGGGCAAACGGCGUGGCGAAUGAUCAGAAAGUGGUUAUCAAAGGAAUGGAACGGUUUUUCCAUGAGAGGGAAGUGUUAAUGAUAAAACAUGGCCUAGCGGAUCAAGGAAGACUACGUGCCAAUGAAUUACCGGGUUUCUAUCCGAUAAUGGGACACAGCCUCGUAAAGAAAUAGACCUCAUUUUUUUUGUUUCUUUGUAGUGUAAAAAUUGGUCUAGAAAUAACGAUUGAAUGAUAGCUAUAGAGUGGAGAAAUCUGAAGAGAUGCGAUGAUUAAUUUUCUGUUGAAGGCAUGGCCGACAAUCAGAAAUCUGCUAUCAGAGAAUGGAACAGUUUGUUGACGUCGACUGGACGAUUCAAGAGCUAAGAUGACGUGGCGGAGGAUGAGAUGGAUCAUCAAAAGAGGACGAUCGAGGAAUGGAAGACACGGUCAGGUCAGGAGGCAAGCGAUCAGAGAACAUGGCAUGGUUGACGAUCAAAGAAGUUUGGGUGUUUCCACAGAGGUCGGGCGAGACGAAGCGAUCAAGAAAUAUGGCACGCGAUUGGGAGAGAUGAUUUGACGGACGAUCAAGAGGCGACUAUCCAGGGAAUGGAAACGGUUUUUCCAGGGCGAUGAGGCUAUCAGGGAAAGAUGAUAUGGCGGGCGACCCGAUGACGGCUAUACAAUCAAGAAGAUGAAGACUUUUUCACGUCAAUGAAAAUAAGAGGAUAACCAAGGAGUGAGUUGAUAAACAACUAGAAGGCAGUUAUGCGAAUAACAGGUCCACGACGGUCAAGUGGUUGUAGAUAGAGAUGGUGUAAUGUACGAUCAGGAGGCAGCUAUCAGAGGAAUGAAAUGUUUUAUUGACGGCCGGCGGCAAGAUGAUCGAAGAGCGAAGAAGACGUGAUGGUGGAUUAGAAGACAGCUAUCCGGGCAAUAGAACGGUUUUCCCGGUGGCGAAGUGGUCAGAAAUAGAGAUGAUGUAACGAUCAGGAGACGGCUAUCUGGGAAUGGAAUACUUUGUCGACAGCGAAGGGAUAAUCCAAGGGUGGAUAUGAUGAACCGUCGAUAAGGCGGCAACUAGCUGGAAGCGAUAUAAAUAAAAGACGACAUGGUGGACAAUCAAGAAAAAUGGCAUGACAGUGGAUCAGAAGGAUUGCUAUUCGGGCGCUUUUUCCACAGUGAUGAGGCGGUCAUGACGGCCGUUGCCUAUCAGAAGUCGGUUAGGUGAAUGGGGAAAUAGAAAACGAAGAGGACAAUUAAAAGACAGCGAUUAGGAACUGAAUCGACGAAGCUAGCGAGGAAGAAGAGGCAUAAUGAACAAAUGGGAGAAUGGAACAAUAUCUCUAGGCGGCCAGGGAAAAUUGUGGCAGACGACCAUAAGUUAGAGAAUGAAACGAUGUUUUCAUAGUGGCGAGGCGAUCGGCAACAAAGGUUUCGUGGCAGAUGAUCAGAAGACGGAGAUAUGACGAUCCAGAGGCAGAGAUAACGUAGUCGAAGAGAAAGCGACGCAGAAAACAGACGACGACCUGGCGAACGAUCAGAAGGCGGCUAUCUGGGGAAUGGAAUGGUUUUUUCACGAGAGCUGAAGCAUUAGGGGUAAAAGAUGGCGUGACGGAUUUUUUUUACAGUAGCAAUAAAAUACUAUGGCGGACUAUCUGAAGACGGCGUUGAAGAGAGGAAAAUGAAACGGUUUUUCCACGGUGAGGAAGCAGUCACGGAUAGAGAUGGCAGACGUUAAAAAAGCGGCGAGGCGGUCGGAGAAAAUACUUUAAUGGGGAACGCUGGUUUAUUUACGGUAACGUAAUUGGGGGAAAAAGUAACAGGCGGCGAUUGGGAACCGAAUCGAUUAUUCUACAACGUGACGGUUGGGGAAUAGCUAACAAUCGGUGACGGCAGAAUGGAAACAUUUUUAAAAGCGAUUUGUGACCAAAACGAUCGAUGACGUGACGGGCGAUCGGAGGCGAUUUUCGGGGGAAUAGAACGGUUUCUUCACGGCAGUGAUGCGAUUGAGGAUAGUCCAGGAGAUGGCGGACGAUCGGGGAAGCGGUCGAGAAUAGAGAUGGCAUGGAGGAUGAAAAGGCGGCUGUACGGAUAAUGAAACGAUUUUUUCCAUGCUAGGGGUAAAAUGCUGCAUGACUGACGAUGAGAAGGUGAUGAGAUGAUCAAGAAAGACGGUGUAAUGAUGGAUCAGAAGGCUUGCGGUUUUUCAACGACGACGAAGCUAUAAGAAAAUGGGAUUGUUUUUCCACAGAAACGAGGUGGUCAAAAAAAUGCUCUCGUGAAGUAGAAGGAAGCAAUCGAGGAAGAAGAAACAUGGCGGCAAUCGGAGAAUGGAACGAUUUUUCGGGGCGAUCUGAGGUAAGACCAUCGGCGGCGGAGAUGGCAUAGCGAACGAUCGGGAGUCGAAAAUUGCGUGGUGAACGAUCAGAAUCAGCGGCGUUCCACGAUUUGUUUACGGGAGCGAGUUGAUUCAAGGGCGAAGAUGACGGUCGAUUAGAAGACGGCGAGAAGGGCAAAAAGCGGAUAGCGGAUUAGAUGGCUAUCCUCGACUCGUUUAGAAGGGCGGAAUGAUUCAAGGGGGAAGAUAGCGUGGCGGUCGAUUUGCAGAUGGCGAGGGGAUCAGGUUAAACGGCGUAGCGAAUAAUCAGAAGGUAACGCCUAUCCGUCUGCGUGUAAGACGAUCAGGAGGGGGCUAGCCACUUUUGUUGACGAGGGCGGGAUGGUUCAAGGGCGAAGAUGACGUGACGGUUGAUUGGUAGGCGACGAGGAGAUUAGGGCAAACGGCGUGGCGAAUGAUCAGAAAGUGGUUAUCAAAGGAAUGGAACGGUUUUUCCAUGAGAGGGAAGUGUUAAUGAUAAAACAUGGCCUAGCGGAUCAAGGAAGACUACGUGCCAAUGAAUUACCGGGUUUCUAUCCGAUAAUGGGACACAGCCUCGUAAAGAAAUAGACCUCAUUUUUUUUGUUUCUUUGUAGUGUAAAAAUUGGUCUAGAAAUAACGAUUGAAUGAUAGCUAUAGAGUGGAGAAAUCUGAAGAGAUGCGAUGAUUAAUUUUCUGUUGAAGGCAUGGCCGACAAUCAGAAAUCUGCUAUCAGAGAAUGGAACAGUUUGUUGACGUCGACUGGACGAUUCAAGAGCUAAGAUGACGUGGCGGAGGAUGAGAUGGAUCAUCAAAAGAGGACGAUCGAGGAAUGGAAGACACGGUCAGGUCAGGAGGCAAGCGAUCAGAGAACAUGGCAUGGUUGACGAUCAAAGAAGUUUGGGUGUUUCCACAGAGGUCGGGCGAGACGAAGCGAUCAAGAAAUAUGGCACGCGAUUGGGAGAGAUGAUUUGACGGACGAUCAAGAGGCGACUAUCCAGGGAAUGGAAACGGUUUUUCCAGGGCGAUGAGGCUAUCAGGGAAAGAUGAUAUGGCGGGCGACCCGAUGACGGCUAUACAAUCAAGAAGAUGAAGACUUUUUCACGUCAAUGAAAAUAAGAGGAUAACCAAGGAGUGAGUUGAUAAACAACUAGAAGGCAGUUAUGCGAAUAACAGGUCCACGACGGUCAAGUGGUUGUAGAUAGAGAUGGUGUAAUGUACGAUCAGGAGGCAGCUAUCAGAGGAAUGAAAUGUUUUAUUGACGGCCGGCGGCAAGAUGAUCGAAGAGCGAAGAAGACGUGAUGGUGGAUUAGAAGACAGCUAUCCGGGCAAUAGAACGGUUUUCCCGGUGGCGAAGUGGUCAGAAAUAGAGAUGAUGUAACGAUCAGGAGACGGCUAUCUGGGAAUGGAAUACUUUGUCGACAGCGAAGGGAUAAUCCAAGGGUGGAUAUGAUGAACCGUCGAUAAGGCGGCAACUAGCUGGAAGCGAUAUAAAUAAAAGACGACAUGGUGGACAAUCAAGAAAAAUGGCAUGACAGUGGAUCAGAAGGAUUGCUAUUCGGGCGCUUUUUCCACAGUGAUGAGGCGGUCAUGACGGCCGUUGCCUAUCAGAAGUCGGUUAGGUGAAUGGGGAAAUAGAAAACGAAGAGGACAAUUAAAAGACAGCGAUUAGGAACUGAAUCGACGAAGCUAGCGAGGAAGAAGAGGCAUAAUGAACAAAUGGGAGAAUGGAACAAUAUCUCUAGGCGGCCAGGGAAAAUUGUGGCAGACGACCAUAAGUUAGAGAAUGAAACGAUGUUUUCAUAGUGGCGAGGCGAUCGGCAACAAAGGUUUCGUGGCAGAUGAUCAGAAGACGGAGAUAUGACGAUCCAGAGGCAGAGAUAACGUAGUCGAAGAGAAAGCGACGCAGAAAACAGACGACGACCUGGCGAACGAUCAGAAGGCGGCUAUCUGGGGAAUGGAAUGGUUUUUUCACGAGAGCUGAAGCAUUAGGGGUAAAAGAUGGCGUGACGGAUUUUUUUUACAGUAGCAAUAAAAUACUAUGGCGGACUAUCUGAAGACGGCGUUGAAGAGAGGAAAAUGAAACGGUUUUUCCACGGUGAGGAAGCAGUCACGGAUAGAGAUGGCAGACGUUAAAAAAGCGGCGAGGCGGUCGGAGAAAAUACUUUAAUGGGGAACGCUGGUUUAUUUACGGCAACGUAAUUGGGGAAAAAAGUAACAGGCGACGAUUGGGAACCGAAUCGAUUAUUUUACGACGUGACGGUUGAGGGAUAGCUAACAAUCGGUGACGGCAAAAUGGAAACAUUUUUAAAAGCGAUUUGUGACCAAAACGAUCGAUGACGAUGACGUGGCGGGCGAUCGGAGGCGAUUUUCGGGGGAAUAGAACGGUCUCUUCACGGCAGUGAAGCGGUUGAGGAGAGGCCAUUAGAUGGCGGACGAUCAAGAGCGGCGAUCUGCGGAAUGGAACGGUUUUUCCACGUCGGGGAAGCGGUCGAGAAUAGAUAGCAUGGAGGAUGAAAAGGCGGCUGUACGGAUAAUGAAACAAUUUUUUCCAUGCUAGGGGUAAAAUACUGCAUGACUGACGAUGAGAAGGUGAUGAGAUGAUCAAGAAAGACGGUGUAAUGAUGUAUCAGAAGGCUUGCGGUUUUUCAACGACGGCGAAGUUAUAAGAAAAUGGGACUGUUUUUCCACAGAAACGAGGUGGUCCAAAAAAAUGCUCUCGUGAAGUAGAAGGAGCAAUCGAGGAAGAAAAAACAUGGCGGCAAUCGGAGAAUGGAACGAUUUUUCGGGGCGAUCUGGUAAGACCAUCGGCGGCGGAGAUGGCAUAGCGAACGAUCGGGAGUCGAAAAUUGCGUGGUGAACGAUCAGGAAGCGGCUUUCCACAAUUUGUUUACGGGAGCGAGUUGAUUCAAGGGCGAAGAUGACGGUCGAUUAGAAGACGGCGAGAAGGGCAAAGAGCGUGACGAAUGAUCACAGGGUGGCUAUCCGGCUGCAUAGCGGAUUAGACGGCUAUCCACGAUUCGUUUAGAAGGGCGGAAUGAUUCAAGGGGGAAGAUAACGUGGCGGUCGAUUUGCAAAUGGCAAGGGGAUCAGGGCAAACGGCGUAGCGAAUAAUCAGAAGGCGACGCCUAUCCGUCUGCGUGUAUGCCACUUUUGUUGACGAGGACGGGAUGGUUCAAGGGCGAAGAUGAGGUGACGGUUGAUUGGUAGGCGACGAGGAGACUAGGGCAAAUGGCGUGGCGAAUGAUCAGAAAGUGGUUAUCAAAGGAAUGGAACGGCUGGGGAGUAUUAAUGAUAAAACACGGCCUAGCGGAUCAAGGAAGACUGCGUGACGAUGAAUUACCGGGAUGCUAUCCGGUAAUGGGACGGUUAUUCAACGAUAGCGACGCGAUCGACAAUUGGGAGGGUUUUUUCCACAGCAGUCAGAAAAACAGCUGUUAUGGCGGACGCGAAUGAUUAGAUGUGACUAGACGAUCCGGAAAUGAUUCGAUUUUUCGACAACGACGAGGCGAUUGAGGCAACGACACAACAAAUAAUUAGAAGGGCGGCGAUUUUUAAAGGUGGUCAGUGGCGAGACGAUCAGGAGGCAACUACUAUCUGGGGAAUAGAACAUUUUCCACAACGAGGCAAUCAGGAAGAUGUUGGAAGCGAUCAUGAGGCGGCUCUACGAGAAUGGAGCGGUUCUUUCACGGCGACGACGGGAAAAAAACGUUUUUUUAUGGCAGCGAAAGUCGGAGAUGUAGCUAUGGUGUGGCAGACGUUCAGAAGGCUGCAAGGCAUAGCGGACGAUUGCAAGGCGAUAAGAUAGUCAAAGAAGACUGAUUGACGGUGGAUCAGAAGGCUUACUAUCCGGUAAUGGGACAAUUUUUCAACGACGACAAAUGGGACGGUUUUUCCUCAGCGGCGAGGCGGUCAGAGAAUGAUUUUUUAUUGCGGGCGCAUACGAUUAGAACGCAGCUAGGCGAUCGGGAAGUUAAUCUAUUUUUCAACAACGACGUGGUGAUCAAUAAAGUAUUGGCCAACAAUCAGAAUGUGCGACGAUUAGACAAUGAUUUUAAAAUGCGAUCGGUGGCAAAACGAUCAGAGGUUUUUGGAGAUUAGAACGUUUUUCCACGCAGCAAAUCGGUUGAAGUCGGCUAUCCGGUAAUGAAACGGUUCUUCCACGGCGACGACGGAGAAUGAAACGGUUUUUUCCACGGCAGCGAAGCGGUUGGGGAUAGAGAUACACGGCGGACCAUUAGGAGAUAGGCGGAUUUUCAGGGAUGGAACGGGUCUUCCACGGCGGUGACGGGAAAUGGAACGGUUUUUCCACGGCAGUGAAACAGUCGAAAAUGUAGAUGGCGUGGUAGGCGUUCAGACGCGAUUAGGGACGAUUGGUACGCGGCUAUCCAGGAAACGGAACGGUUUUUCCACGGCAGCGAAGCGGUCGGGCGAUGGGGAUGGCGUGGAGGACAUUCAGAAGGCGGCGAUAAGAUGAUCAAAGAAGACGGCGUGACGGUGAAUCAGGAUUGCUAUCCGGUAAUAGGCGGUUUUUCAACGACGGCGACCCUUUCGGCAAAUGGGACGGUUUCUCCACAGCGGGCGAAGCGGUUGGAGAAAGAACUUUUAUUGUGGACGCGGACGAAUAGAAGGUAGCUGGGCAAUCGGGAAUUAAUUGAUGUUUCAACAAUGGUAGGAGUCAUGACCCACAAUCAGAAGACGCGGCAAUUGGAGGAUUUAUUGAUUUUUAAAGGCGAUAAGUGGCGAGACGAUCAGAGACAGCUAUCCGAGAAUGGAACGGUUCUUCUACGGUGGCGACGGGGAAUCGAACGGUUUUUCCACGGCAGCAAAGCGCUCGUGAAUAGAAACGGCUUGAUGAGCAAUCAGGAGAUGGCGAGACAAUCCGGGGAGGCGUGGCGGACGGAUCAGGAGGCGGCUAUCUGGAAAUGGAGCGGUUUUUCCACGGCGAUGACGGCGAUUUGCAGGCUUUCCACGGAGGCGACGGGGAAUGGAACGGUUUUUCCACGGCAGCGAAGCGAUCGACGAUAGAGAGGCGUGACGGACGAUCAGGAGGCGACUAUCUAGAUAUGGAAUGGUUCUCUCAAGGUGGCGACGGGGAAUGAAACGGUUCCUCCCGACCGGCGAAGCGGUCGGAGAUAGAGAUGCGUGGCGGACAAUCGGGAGGCAGCUAUCCGGGGAUGGACUGGUUCUUCCACGGCGACGUCGGGGAUUGGCGGUCUGCGACGGGGAGUGGAAUGGUAGCAGUCGGGAAUGGAACAAUCAGGAAGCGGCGGAGCAUGGCUGUCCGGGAAUGGAAUGGUUCUUCCACGGCGAUUAGUGGGAUUGGAACGGUUUUUCUACGUCAGCGACUGGUGAGGGGAUCAGAAGAGAUGUGGCGGACGAUUAGGAGGCGGCUUUCCGGGAAUGGAACGGUUCUUCCACGGCAGCUAGAGGGAUUGGAACACUUUUUCCACAACAGCGACGGAUAUUCCCUACUUCCACGGCGGUGACAGGGAUUGGCGGCCCUUCCUCGGCAACGAGGGGGAAUGGAACGGUUUUUCCACUGCGACUCUCCAGGAAUGGCACGGUUCUUCCACGGCGGCUAGAGGGAUUGGAAAGGUUUUUCCACUGCAACGAUGGAGAUUGGUAGUCCUUACUUCCACGACGGCGACGGGGAUUGGCGGUCCUUCCAAGGCAACGAGCGGGAAUGGAACGGAAGAGGUGGUAUGAGGGGCAAUGAUCAAGGAAGACGUAGCAGACGAUCAGGAGGCGGUUGUCCGAGGAUGGAACAGUUCUUCCACGGCGGUGAUGGGGACUGUCGGUCCUUCAACGACUGCGAAGAGGGAUGGAGGAGACGAUCAGGGGAGGCGUGGCGGACGUUCAGGAGGCGGUUUCCAGGUAUAGAAUGAUUCCUCCACGGCGGCGAUGGGGAUUGGCGGUCCUUCAAGACGGCGAGGAGGGAUGGACGAAGCGAUCAGGGAAAGCGUGGCGGACGUUCAGGAGGCGGUUGUCCGGGGGUAGAAUGGUUCUUCCACGUCGGCGACGGGGAUUUGCAGUCUUUCCUAGGCCGGGAGGGACGUGGCGGUUGAUCAGGAGGUCACUAGGUAUCCUUAAAUAGAUAGUUUUUUUUAAUUUUUACAGCAGCGACGGGGAAUGGGACGGUUUUUUAACGGCAGCAAAGCGGUUGGGAACAGAGAUGGCGUGGCGGACGAUCAGGAACCGGUUGUCCUGAAAUGGAACGCUGCUUCCACGGCAGCGACGGGAAUUGGCGGUCCUUCCACAGCGGCGAGGAGAGAUGGAACGGUUUUUCCACGGCAGCGAAGCGGUCUUAUGCAGAAAUGGGACGGUUUUUUCACGGCGACGACGGGGAAUGGGACGGUUUUUCAGAUGCAGCGAGGCAGUCAGGGGAGGCGUGGCAGACGGUUAUCCUGUGAUGAAACGGUUUUUCCACGGCAGCGAAGCGGUCAGGGAUGAAGAGACGUGGCGGACAAACAGGUGGCGACUAUCCGGAAAUGGGACGGUUUUUUCUCGACGGCGAUGGGAAAUGGGAUGGUUUUUCAGAUGCAGCGAAGCGGUCAGGAAAGAGAUUGCGCGGCAGACAAUCGGGAAGCGGCAAAGCGCUCAGGGGAGACGUGGCGGACGGUCAGGAGGCAGUUAUCUUGGGAUGGUGGCGGAUGAUCAGGAAUCGGUUGUCCUGAGAUGGAACCGUGCUUCCACGACAGCGACGGGGAUUGGCGGUCCUUCCACAGCGGUGAGAAGAGAUGAAACGGUUUUUCCACGGCAGCGAAGCGGUCUUAUGCAGAAAUGGGACGGUUUUUUCACGGCGACGACGGGGAAUGGGACGGUUUUUCAGAUGCAGCGAGGCAGUCAGGGGAGGCGUGGCAGACGGUUAUCCUGUGAUGAAACGGUUUUUCCACGGCAGCGAAGCGGUCAGGGAUGAAGAGACGUGGCGGACAAACAGGUGGCGACUAUCCGGAAAUGGGACGGUUUUUUCUCGACGGCGAUGGGAAAUGGGAUGGUUUUUCAGGUGCAGCGAAGCGGUCGGGAACAGAGCAGGGCAGAAUAUCAGAGGCGAUUAGGGUAGGCGUAGCUGACGAUCACGAGACGAUUGUCAUCGGUUGCAACGGUAUUUCCACGGCGGCGAGGAGGGAUGGACUAUCCGGAAAUGGGACGGUUUUUUUACGGCGGCGACGGGAAAUGGGACGGAUUUUCAACGGCAGCGAAUCGGUCGGGAACAGAGAUGGUGCGACAGGGAUUAAGAUGGCGUAACGGAGGUGAUAGUAGAAUAGGACGGUUUGUUUCUAGCGAUUAUAUGCUCUGAGAAAAAGCUGGCACUUGGAUGAACAGCAAGCUGCGAAAUGAUCCGAAAAAUAGACAUGGCGAACAAGUAAAAGUAGCAAUCAGAUGGCAGCGAUGAAGGAAUGAUAAUAUUUUUCCAUGCAAGGUAAUUAAUUAGUGGCAAUACCAUCGGUAGUAGCAAUCAUGAUGGAUAGCAUAGUGUGGACAAUCUGAAGACGACGAUGGGGGAUUAAAGUUGCAUGGCGAACGAUUAGAAAAUGGCGAUCGGCGGUGAGAUGAUCUGAGAAUAGCUGGCACGCGGACGCACAGGAAGCUGUGAAGUGAUCAGGAAAGUCAGGAAAGACAAACAAUUAGAAAAGUAGCGAUCGGAAACUAAACCAUUUCAAGGUAGUUUCACAGCAACAGGCAGUAGAGGAAAAAGAUAAAGUAACAGUCAGAUGACAGCAAUAAGGGAAUGAAAAUAUUUUUUCGGCAAGGUAAUUAGUGGCAAAACCAUCGAUAGCAAUCAUGAUGGAUAGCAUAGUGGAAGAUUUGAAGACGAAUGAAUGAUUUGGAAAUUAAAAUGGCGUGACAGACGAUUAGAAUAGAAAGAUGUUUGCAUGGCGAAUCAUGGAUAAAGAUGGCGCUGCAAGCAAUCAGAAGACGACGGUUUUCUUCAAAAAUGGAACUGUUUUUCCAAAGCGUAAAGUGAUCCUGGAAGAUGCCAAGCAACGAUCAAAUGGCUGCUACCCACAAAUGGAAUUGUUUUGUUACGAAAACGAGACUAUUUAGGAAGAUUGCGUGGCAGACAAUCAAAAGGAUACUAUCCAAGGAGAUAGAGAAAAAAAUUGAGCAGAAAAGAGAUGGUAUAGCAAACAACCAGAUGGCAGCUAUGAGGCAACGACAAGAUUUUUCCAUGACGGCUAUUUUUCAUAGUGCUAAGGCCAACCAUCGAUGACAAUCAUUAUAGACAGCGCCUGAAGAUGGCGAUGGGGGAUUGAAGUUGUGUGGCGGAUAUUUAUAAGGCGGCGAUCGGAGAAUAAAACGAUUUUGUCACAUUGGCAAGGCAAUUACGGAUGAAAUUGGCAUGACAGACGAUCGGAAGGCAAUUUGCACGGCGAAUCAUGAAUAAAGAUAGCAUAAUGGACAAUCAGAAUAUGGCGGCAGAGGAGUGGUGUUGCAGACGACUAAAAAAUGCCAAGUGACGGAUCAUUUGACUGCUAUCCACAAAUGGAACGGUUUUGUUACAAGAACGAGGUCUACGGUCAGAAAGAAGGUAUCUAAAAAAUUGAGAAGAAAAAAGGUGUAAUGCAGGGUUAGAGGACCGCUGUCUCAAGAGUAAUGGGGUGCUGCAGACUAUAACGAGUUAAUAUUUCUUACUAACAAUACGUUUCAUUAUACCCACUGUAUCAAAUGCCAUGAAGAGGCAGUUUUAACACCAGUGGUAAGAGUAAGAUACUUCAUGAAGUGAAAGGUUAUUUUGUCACUGAAAUAAACUUAUGUGUAUGUGAAGAUAUCUCAUUUAUUUCAGAAGAGUUACUGAUGAAGAUGGUGUCAUUGCGAGUAGAAAAUUGCAUACCAGUAUGAAUGUUACUAGUUAGAGACUAAAAUCCUUGCCGACUAUCGAUAGGUGUUCUUUUUCUGUCAGGAGCUAUACAGUGUGUCUCUGAAAUAAUUGCGUUCCUUGAAAAUAGUGAUAGAUGGCACGAAAAUGAACAACUUUUAUUAAAACAACUGAUGGUUUAAAUGCUUCUAUUUUCGAAAAAAUUAAUUAAGAAAAUUGACCAUAAAUGAGCCGACCCUGUGCAUCUUGUGCAGGUGCAUGGCCAGAAUGGGAACUCGAAAAUCCGUACGCAAUUGAAUGAUAUCACUUCUAACACCGUUUUUCACUGAAUAUUUGGGCCGGAAUUAUUAAUGAGCGCCUAAUUAGGCCGUUGUUAUUGCCCAAUCGUAUGGAUGGUUUACAAUAUCUCUAAUGUCUGCAAUGACCUGCCCGCCCUUCUUGAAAUUGUACCCCUAGCUGUCGAACAACGCAUGUGGUUUUUACAUAAUGGGACACCUCACUUUCGGCUAGAUUGUUCGAGAUUAUCUCCAUCAAGUGUACGGAAUACGGUGGAUUGAACAAGGUGGAUCGGUAGCACGGCCUCCAUGGUCUCCCGAUUUAAACCCUUUUGACUUCUUUUUGUAGGGCAAUUUAAAAAAUAAGGUAUACCGAAGUGAAAACCGUCGAGGAUUUGCGCAAGCGUAUCACAGCUGCCACGAAUAAUUUGCAUUUACAACAGCGACCAGGAAGAACAUUCGCUUUAGUACGACAAAAUUGGAUAAGGCGUGCCCAAAUAUAUGUACAUCGAGGGACAAAAUUUCGAACAGCUUUUGUAAUAAGGGAUACUUCACAACUUCAAGAUGUAUGGUAUACACUCGUCCAACACAAGUUAAAACCGGCAGAUACAAACUUCAUUAAUAAUAUAUAAAAUAAGUUAAGUCUCACUGUAAUAAAUCCAUAAGUUCAUUUGUAAAAUACUUAAUUAAAAAUAAAACGUUCGGAUUA